rnacentral:rRNA from 1 species
AUACGUAGGGUGCGAGCGUUGUCCGGAAUUACUGGGCGUAAAGAGCUCGUAGGUGGUUUGUCGCGUCGUCUGUGAAAUUCCGGGGCUUAACUCCGGGCGUGCAGGCGAUACGGGCAUAACUUGAGAACUGUAGGGGAGACUGGAAUUCCUGGUGUAGCGGUGAAAUGCGCAUAUAUCAGGAGGAACACCGGUGGCGAAGGCGGGUCUCUGGGCAGUAACUGUCGCUGAGGAACGAAAGCAGGGGGAGCGAACAGGAUUAGAUACCCUCGUAUUCCAUGCGGUAAACGGGGGGCGCUAGGUGUAGGGGUCUUCCACGAUUUCUGUGCCGUAGCUAACGCAUUAAGAGCCCCGCCUGGGGAGUACGGCCGCAAGGCUAAAACUCAAAUGAAUUGACUGGG